CCAUCAAGGCAGGCAGCAGGCGCGCAAUUACCCACUCCCGGCACGGGGAGGUAGUGACGAAAAAUAACGAUACGGGACUCUUCCGAGGCUCCGUGAUUGGAAUGAGUACACUUUAAACCCUUUAACGAGGAUCUAUUGGAGGGCAAGUCUGGUGCCAGCAGCCGCGGUAACUCCAGCUCCAAUAGCGUAUAUUAAAGUUGUUGCGGUUAAAAAGCUCGUAGUUGGAUUUCUGUCUUCGGCCGGGCGGUGCCGCCUGAUAAUCAAGGGCGCGCACUGCUUUGGGAGCGCCGGUGUCAAAGCCGCACUCUUUUAACGGUCGGACAAUACCACCGGAGUGGUGACGGGCCGGCGGGGUUGGUUCGCCCUUCACCGUCGGUUCCCACCCGUAAUCGUCCGAGGUGCUCUUAACCGAGUGUCUCGGGCGGCCGGUAACGUUUACUUUGAACAAAUUAGAGUGCUCAAAGCAGGUGCUUGCUCGCCUGAAUAUCACAGCAUGGAAUGAUGGAAUAGGACCUCGGUCUUAUUUUGUUGGUUUUCUCUAGACCCGAGGUAAUGGUUAAUAGAGACAGACGGGGGCAUUGGUACUGCGACGCUAGAGGUGAAAUUCUUGGACCGUCGCAAGACCAACAACUGCGAAAGCAUUUGCCAAGAAUGUUUUCAUUAAUCAAGAACGAAAGUUAGAGGUUCGAAGGCGAUCAGAUACCGCCCUAGUUCUAACCAUAAACGAUGCCAACCAGCGAUCCGCCGAAGUUACUCCCAUGACUCGGCGGGCAGCUUCCGGGAAACCAAAGUCUUUGGGUUCCGGGGGAAGUAUGGUUGCAAAGCUGAAACUUAAAGGAAUUGACGGAAGGGCACCACCAGGAGUGGAGCCUGCGGCUUAAUUUGACUCAACACGGGAAACCUCACCAGGCCCGGACACUGGAAGGAUUGACAGAUUGAGAGCUCUUUCUUGAUUCGGUGGGUGGUGGUGCAUGGCCGUUCUUAGUUGGUGGAGCGAUUUGUCUGGUUAAUUCCGAUAACGAACGAGACUCUAGCCUGCUAAAUAGGUGGCGGGUUUUAUCAUUGAAAUUUUGGGUUCGGAGUUGGUCGGGACCAGGGUCGGCGUUGCUGCCUGGUUCGCCUUCUGGUGUGUUUUUCUCUUCGUCUUCGUCGGCGGGCUUCUCGGAGUCUGUCGGUGGAGGCGGCGGGGAGGCGUGCUGGGAGCGGGCCGGGUCUGUGGCGUCGGUCCCCCGGCGGUCGGCUCCGUUCCCGCGUCCGUCACAACUCUUCUUAGAGGGACAAGCGGCGUCCAGCCGCGUGACAGUGAGCAAUAACAGGUCUGUGGUGCCCUUAGAUGUCCUGGGCCGCACGCGCGCUACACUGAAGGAAUCAGCGUGUUUUUCUCCCCCUGUCCGAAAGGACCGGGUAACCGCUGAACCUCCUUCGUGGUUGGGAUUGGGGACUGCAAUGAUCCCCAUGAACCAGGAAUCCCUAAUAGGCGCGAGUCACUAGCUCGCGUCGAUUACGUCCCUGCCCUUUGUACACACCGCCCGUCGCUACUACCGAUUGAAUGAUUUAGUGAGGCCUUCGGACGGGCUCGUCGGGGGCCCGAGCCAAAGGGAGCAAUCCCCGUAGUUCGGUCUUGAUUAACCGCGAGAUCGAAAAGUACGUCGAGGAACCUUAUACAUUAA
rnacentral:rRNA from 1 species